rnacentral:lncRNA from 12 species
GUAACAUAUUUAUUUGUAACAUAUUUAUUCAUAUCACUCUACACCCUCUGGAACACUAUCAUAUAUCUCCAGAUUUAUAUGCAUCCUAAUUGAAAUGUGCAAUCUUAUAAGAGCCAACUAUAUGAAUUAUAAGUUAUAAGAUGAACUCAUGCUAAUGCUGAUAAUAGUGGAUGCAUCUACAAUCAUAACAUUUAAUACAUUUUUACAACAGUAAGUCUGCUAUUUGUCAUUUAUGCUAAACCUCUGUAGAGCCUCAACAACUUAGCAUUUGGUUAUUAUUUGCCUCUCAUUUGUUAUAACUUCUCACUUAUGUCACUUUCAGAGUCUACUAUGAGCUACAUGUAAGUAGUAUCUUCUGAGUAAGUAUUCUUCCCUAAUAUUAGAGUCUGAGAACCUUCAGGAAAGGGCCAUAUCUCAUUUUGAUUCCUAUAUUCAAAGUUUAGCAUGUUGGCUGGCAAUUGGUUCCUGGUUCUUGGAAUGGAAUGGAAUGGAAUGGAAUGGAAUGGAAUGGAAUGGAAUGGAAUGGAAUGGAGUGGAAUGGAGUGGAAUGGAAUAGAAUGCCCUGGUCUUGGUUGUUUGGUUGUUGUACAUCAACCAAGUUACUGAUGAAACUGUAUUCCCAGGACAUGAUCUGUGAUUUACAGACUGUUGAAUAUCAUCAUUUCAGCAAUACAAUAGUAGCACAUGUCUUCCUGAAGGAGCUUGUAAGUUGAAUCAAUUCUGAUAUGCAUAUUAAGUUAAGAAGCAUGCAAAGCAGAUGGUAAAAUGCAAAUGGAUUAAGAGCUCCAAGGUUAUACAGAUUUGAAUCUAUUUUAAAAAGUGAUAGUCUUUUUUAGUCUCAUCAGUGACUUUGAAAACAAUAGGCUCAACCACGAUGGGAAAUAUGAAAUAUUUUCUAACUUGCAGUUGCCCUUUGUAAAAAAUGUUUUAUUUCAAUAUCUAAUUUAUUAUUGCUCAUUUAUGUAAUACCCUGCAGCAUUAUUUCUCUACAACUUUUACCUUCCCAUUGAGUGUUUGAAUUUCUCUAUCAUUUAUUUUCACUCAAAGGCAUUAACCUGCUUUCCUAAGUCAUAUUUCAUUUUGUUACUUUUCCAGAUAACUAAAAUUUUUAUAUAUUAUUUCCAGUUAAUCCCACAUGGCACACAAAAUGAAGAGCCAAUGUAGAGAAUAAUUAUUCAGUAUUUCAAAAUGCAGAACUGCUGGGGUAAAUUAGGUAAUGGGAAAUGAUGCCAUCAGGUCUCACAGUGUUGACAAUGGAAGAGUGGCAGUCAUACUCAGAAAAAACUUAUACUUUUCUACAUGAGAAAGAAAAGGGAAACACGAAUAUCCAAUCUCAAAUUAUGCUUCAAUUUCUACUUUGAUGUUCUCUUCUAAAAUAAGCAUUGCCAAACCCCCUGGUUCAGUGAUCUUUCAAAACCAGCCUUAGAGAUUUCAGUCUAGAGCAACAUUCUGAGCAUAUUUUUUAGCAGCUAGACCAAUUAGGCUUUUUUCCUGACAGCAGCCAAUGUUGUGAGGCGUUUGUUAAAUUCUAUCACAUCUUGUGUUUAUGAAAAUGAACUGUGUCCUUGGGAAAUUCAAAAGGUAAUGAAGCAUGGGCCUAAGGAGAGCACCAGAGGGAGGCAGAGCACAAUGUGUCACUGUGAAGCUCCGAUGGGGGUAUUUGGUUUCUAAUAUUAGGGAUGGUUCUCUACGGUAUGUGGGUCCAAAGAAAAA